rnacentral:rRNA from 1 species
CCAGGCUCAGGACGAACGCUGGCGGCGUGCUUAAUACAUGCAAGUCGAGCGGACCGAUUAGAAAGCUUGCUUUUUAAUUGGUUAGCGGCGGACGGGUGAGUAACACGUGGGUAACCUGCCCUAUAGACCGGGAUAACUCGCGGAAACGCGUGCUAAUACCGGAUAACACACCGAAGCGCAUGCUUCGGGGUUGAAAGAUGGUUCUGCUAUCACUAUAGGAUGGGCCCGCGGCGCAUUAGCUAGUUGGUGGGGUAACGGCCUACCAAGGCGACGAUGCGUAGCCGACCUGAGAGGGUGAUCGGCCACACUGGGACUGAGACACGGCCCAGACUCCUACGGGAGGCAGCAGUAGGGAAUCUUCCACAAUGGGCGAAAGCCUGAUGGAGCAACGCCGCGUGAGCGAAGAAGGUCUUCGGAUCGUAAAGCUCUGUUGUAAGGGAAGAACAAGCGCAGCAGUCACUGGCUGCGCCCUGACGGUACCUUACUAAAAAGCCACGGCUAACUACUGCCACAGCCGCGGUAUACCUAG